UACGUAGGGUGCGAGCGUUAAUCGGAAUUACUGGGCGUAAAGUGUGCGCAGGCGGCAGAGCAAGUCGAGUGUGAAAGCCCCGGGCUUAACUUGGGAAUUGCGCUCGAAACUACUUUGCUGGAGUGUGGCAGAGGAAGGUGGAAUUCCACGUGUAGCGGUGAAAUGCGUAGAGAUGUGGAGGAACACCAGUGGCGAAGGCGGCUUUCUGGGUCUGUAACUGACGCUGAGG
rnacentral:rRNA from 1 species